rnacentral:rRNA from 1 species
CCUACGGGUGGCUGCAGUGGGGAAUAUUGGGCAAUGGGCGAAAGCCUGAUCCAGCCAUGCCGCGUGUGUGAAGAAGGCCUUCGGGUUGUAAAGCACUUUCAGUGGGGAAGAAAGCCUUGGGGCUAAUACCCUCGAGGAAGGACAUCACCCACAGAAGAAGCACCGGCUAACUCCGUGCCAGCAGCCGCGGUAAUACGGAGGGUGCGAGCGUUAAUCGGAAUUACUGGGCGUAAAGCGCGCGUAGGCGGUCUGAUAAGCCGGUUGUGAAAGCCCCGGGCUCAACCUGGGAACGGCAUCCGGAACUGUCAGGCUAGAGUGCAGGAGAGGAAGGUAGAAUUCCCGGUGUAGCGGUGAAAUGCGUAGCGAUCGGGAGGAAUACCAGUGGCGAAGGCGGCCUUCUGGACUGACACUGACGCUGAGGUGCGAAAGCGUGGGUAGCAAACAGGAUUAGAUACCCCAGUAGUC